CCUACGGGCGGCAGCAGUGAGGAAUAUUGGUCAAUGGUCGGGAGCCUGAACCAGCCAAGUAGCGUGAGGGAUGAAGGUCCUACGGGUCGUAAACCUCUUUUGUCAGGGAAUAAAGCCUGGCACGCGUGCCCGUCUGCAUGUACCUUACGAAUAAGGAUCGGCUAACUCCGUGCCAGCAGCCGCGGUAAUACGGAGGAUCCGAGCGUUAUCCGGAUUUAUUGGGUUUAAAGGGAGCGCAGGGGGGCGUUUAAGUCAGCGGUCAAAGCCCGGGGCUCAACCUCGGACUGCAGUUGAAACUGGCAGUCUUGAGUGCAAGAGAGGUAGGCGGAAUUCGUGGUGUAGCGGUGAAAUGCAUAGAUAUCACGAAGAACCCCGAUUGCGAAGGCAGCAUGCCGGGGUGCGACUGACGCUGAGGCUCGAAAGUGUGGGUAUCAAACAGGAUUAGAUACCCGGGUAGUC
rnacentral:rRNA from 1 species